CUUUGCUUCAUCACUGGUGUAUAAAAAACGCCACAGUUUAACUGUAGUUGCUUUCUCCCGUGAAGAAUACAAGCAAAACUGCUAAAGUAAUGGCUUCACUGAAAUAUACCACAUACGCCAUGCUUCUCGCUAUUGUCUUACUAACAACCCAGAGUACCGGUGCUGCUGACCGGGACUCAUUUUUUGUUAUAUCCACGUGUGAUGGAACGUGUACACCAAACUCAAAUGCGACCAAUCUUGGUUGUGCGAGCGGUUGCCAGUGUUCUCUACUUAUUGGUGCAGAAAAUACCGGCGCAGGCGAAUGCGUCACGCUGCCACCUUAUCGGGCAUCGCCAUCUACUUGAUGUGCAGUGGCAAAAUAAACUGAAACGCUUUGCUUUCA